GAUCCUGGCUCAGAGCGAACGCUGGCGGCAGGCCUAACACAUGCAAGUCGAACGAACCUUUCGGGGUUAGUGGCGGACGGGUGAGUAACACGUGGGAACGUGCCUUUAGGUUCGGAAUAACUCAGGGAAACUUGUGCUAAUACCGAAUGUGCCCUUCGGGGAAGGAUUUAUUCGCCUUUAGUAGCGGCCCGCCGUCUGAUUAGCUAGUUGGUUGAGGUAAUGGCUCACCAAGGCGACGAUCAGUAGCUGGUCUGAGAGGA
rnacentral:rRNA from 1 species